rnacentral:misc_RNA from 1 species
UCAUAGCCCCGAUCGCAGCAAUUGUUUGAGCUCAUUUUUUGUUUUCGGCGGCGGCAAAGCCGCCGCCGAAAACAAAAAAUAGCGAGUGCGGAGAGCGGGAAAUAGC